UGAGAUAUGGGGCUGCUUCAGAUUGUCCACAGCAGUUGACUAUGAUUUGCCUCGUGCUCUAGUAGGAGUGUGGAUUUUGCCAACUGCAGUUUGCUUCUGCGAUUAUGAGAUAUUUGGAAUUAUGGAGAUUUUUCAGCAGGUGGUCAGUGUCCGAAUCAGUUCAUGAACCCUCUCCAUUAUUAUAAAAAUGGAAUAAUUUUGCCAGGCCAUUGCAAAAAACACAGGAAAUGAGCACUGCUUAUUUUUGCUGCAUGGAAGUCUGGAUGGAAAAGACAAAGUUGGCCUGCCUCUGGGAACAUUCUAAUGCUGACAGGUGUGAAGAGAGAGAUCUUACCAACUGCCUGGGCACGCUGACCACCAAGUCCUGAGAAUUCUCCUGUCUUGCCUGCCAGCACUGCUUGCCAACAUUGUGCGUCAUGCCAACAUUUCCAUCUUUCAUGUGAGUGCUAUAGAUCUUAACUCAGUUUCUCAAACACUUUCCUUAUUGAGGCAUCCUCCAGUCCCUGAAAGGUACCGGAUGUGGAUGUUGCUUCUGUCUAGUCUACUCCCCCUGACCUCAGAGAACUCUCCUCACCUAUGAGCUGCUGCCAUGCUAGACAACCCCUCCCAGUGACCCCGUCCCUCACAUACAUGCCCAUUUGGAAGUCCAAAUACUGACUUAAUCUCCUCUAUAAUAACUUACUACAAAAAAAAAAAAAGGUAGUCACUGAGUUUUCUACCUAUGAAACCCAGGUACCCUGCUUCUCUGUGCCCACUAGAGAGUUGCAUAACCAGGGGAAGGGAGAGCCUCACAUGUUAGCUCACUGUGGGGCUUUAGCUGCCUGAGGGGUGAAUGACUUACAAGAAGGAAAGUAUUCCUUGGCACAAGUACAGACUCUGGCCUUUUGAUUUUUUUAAGAAUUCCGGGAGGUAUGAAUGGCCAUUAAUCCCACAUAAUGCCUGCUUAGCAUCUCACAGCCUUGAGAACUAACCUUAAACAGGAUGGUUUCUUAAACAUAGAAACCAUCCUAGGAGCAGGGCAUAUAGGAGUGCUUCUCUACUUUGGUCAAGCUGCAGGGAUCAGAGGACAGAAGAGUAGCCAUGUGUCAAGUGUUACAUUGCACUUCAGUGACCUGAAAAUCCUAUGUCUUUGUCAGAGCUUUGGAGACCCAGCCAAUAAGUCCCUAAAUAGUAUAAGGGCUUAUCACCCCUUCCACUUCAUAUCCACAAGUCAGUUUGUGGACCAAGACAUCUCAGGAGCAUAGUGUGACACUCCUAGGGAUUUUGAAAAGUAGAGAUAUUCUGAGGCUCUCAUAAUUGCAAAUUUGUGGUGAAGCCUCAGCAGACAGCCUUUGCUAUAACCAGUGUGUCACAGAGAAGGUUUCUCUACCUUAUGUAAGUCGUGAGUGUGACACAAUGAAUGUGAAACAGUGCCAUGUUAAACUGAAAAUAAGUACUGUCAUACACACAUCAUACACACACACACACACCACACAUACACACACACACAUACACACCACACACAUACACACAUACCA